rnacentral:rRNA from 1 species
GAUGAACGCUGGCGGCGUGCCUAACACAUGCAAGUCGAACGGAGAUUACGGACGGACGUUUUCGGAUGGAAGCCUGUAAUUCUAAGGGCGGGCGGGGGGGGAAACCCGUGGGAAACUGGCCUAUACCGGGGGGUAGGAGCUGGAAACCGCCGGGUAGGACGGAUAAGUCGGUUAAAACGGAUUAUUUGGAUGGGGAAUGAGCAAACAGGUAUAGGAUGGGGCCGCGUCCGAUUAGCCAGUUGGCAGGGUAAAAGCCUACCAAAGCGACGAUCGGUAGCCGGACUGAGAGGUCGGACGGCCACAUUGGGACCGAGACACGGCCCAAACUCCUACGGGAGGCAGCAGUGGGGGAUAUUGCACAAUGGAGGAAACUCUGAUGCAGCGACGCCGCGUGAGUGAAGAAGUAUUUCGGUAUGUAAAGCUCUAUCAGCAGGGAAGAUGAUGACGGUACCUGACUAAGAAGCCCCGGCUAACUACGUG